UACCUGCAGGACGAUAUAAAAUAUUUUAGACAAAUGUAGGCUACCAUGUAGGCCCUACAGCUAUAAUUAUAAAUACAUAGCUGCCUCUUUAUUCUGUUCAUUUUUAAUUAUCUUUAACUUCAACUAGCCUAACCUAAAAUGACCUCCAAGUCUAAAAGUUUGUUGUGAUUGCCAAGUGCGCGAAGGCGGGCCAGUAGGCUAAGCAACAUCCCUGAAUGAAGGACACAGCACAGGGAGGCGCUCUAGCACAGGUUUUCUGACUCCAGUACGCAGUGCGCGAGCACGGCUCUAACAGCACAACAUCAACCUAAACCCCGUAUCUGCUGGUGUGGACCAAUAGCACAGCUUCACAGUUCUCAGCAUCACCAACCAAAGGAGACAUCCAGCAUCCCCAGACCACGGGAGCGCCUACAGAGACCUCCGACAAGACGUGAAGAUUGUUUUGUUUGAUUAAAAGCCUAUUAUUCCAUUGGAAUUUAGGCUCCCUGACAAUCCUAAUAUUCAAUCUUUUUCUUGGGGCGGCUGAUUUUGCAUCUUCUUGAUGCGCAGUUUAUCAAGGAUAAACCCAGACAGCCAUUACUGCGGCUCUUGUUUUGCCAAAGCAUCGUGGAGGAGAGCAGAUUCCUGCUUUGCAGUGACACAGCUCUCAUCUAUCCCAUUGUCAUUCUUCUUUAAAUAGAGCACCAACCUAAAUUUGGAUGUUGAACACAGAUUGAACUAGUCUCAGGAAGCAGUGGGGCUCCAGUCUGGCACCUUCUUUAGCUGACCCCUAACCUUGAGAUUCUGAUAACCUCCUCCCAGUAUCAUGGGAACCGUGCUAUCACUUUCACCCAGCUACCGGAAGGCCGCCCUGUUUGAGGAUGGCCCGGCCACCGUGGGCCACUACACAGCUGUUCAGAACAGCAAGAACGCCAAGGACAAGAACCUAAAGCGGCACCCACUCAUCAACGUUCUACCGUGGAAACGAAUAGUAGCCGUCUCAGCUAAGAAAAAGGGGUCUAAGAAGGACCAGUCGAGUCCAUCAAACCAAGGCUCCAAAAACUCCAACAACACAGCUUCCUCGGUCAAGAAGGCGCCUCUUUCCAACUCCAACGUUGUUCCCGGGACACCCAAGAGGGUGAUCGUCCAAGCCUCCACCAGUGAGUUGCUGUGCUGUUUGGGAGAGUUCCUCUGCCGGAGGUGCUACCGACUCAAGCACCUUUCUCCCACCGACCCAGUGCUGUGGCUUCGUAGCGUGGAUCGUUCUCUGCUGCUCCAGGGCUGGCAGGACCAGGGCUUCAUCACUCCGGCCAAUGUGGUUUUUGUCUACAUGCUGUGCCGCGAUGUGGUCUCCUCUGAAGUGGCUACGGAGCACGAGCUGCAGGCCGUGCUGCUGACCUGCCUCUACCUGUCUUACUCUUACAUGGGCAAUGAAAUCUCAUACCCUCUCAAGCCAUUCCUGGUGGAGACCUCCAAAGAUACAUUCUGGGACCGCUGCCUGUCCAUUAUCAACAUGAUGAGCGCCAAGAUGCUGCAGAUCAACUCCGAUCCUCACUAUUUCACCCAGGUCUUUGCAGACCUAAAAAAUGAGAGCCAGAAGGAGGAGGAGAGGAGUCGUCUGCUCAUUGGCCUGGACCGGUGAGGGGGCUCUGGAGAUGUCUUUGGUGUCACUCUCGUCUGGCAUUUUUUUUCCAGGGAUAGUUCAGCCAAAAAUGAAAAUUCUGAGAAAUCUGUUCAAACCUGUAUGCCCUUUGGAACACAGGAAAAGAUAUUUUGAAAAAUGUCUCAGUGUUUUUUAGUCCAGAAACAAUGCGGUCCAACAGGGUUGUUUUGGACCCCAUUGACUCUCAUUGUACGCUCUUAACAAUAAAGGUUCCAAUAGCAGAUUUUCA
ensembl:lncRNA